CCAUAGAAACUAAACGAAAUAUUCAAUACUAAAUGCCAAAUUAUACAUCAAUAUGGGCAAAUCACGUCAAAUUCAGAAAUUUUACGAAUAAAAGUGCUCGGUCCGAUCUAGAAGUGAACAAAUAAAGGAUCAAAACUAUACUAAAAUAGUUCUACUGUGGCUGCAAAACAAAGCCUGAAAGCGAAAACUAGUAGAGGAGAAAAAAAUUCGUAAGAGUCUUAGAACAAGGAAAUAAAAUAAUUAUCCGAAUUAUUCCAACAAAAGUAUAGAAUGCAUGGAAAACAUCAAGGAACAGUUUCCAUAAUUGAAAACCUCCAAAAGUUGAAAAUUAUAUGACGAACAUUUCCGUUAAUAAAACUUAUUCUUUGAA